rnacentral:misc_RNA from 1 species
CGGCGAGAGUCAGUGUGGUUGAGGCUGUGCUAAGAGGAGGACCUGCUCGAGUGGUCCUGCUCACGCUCGCUUGAUUGCCGCUGUCGUGCUCUCUGUCUCUCCCUCUCUCUCUCUCACUCACGUCGCUGCGCCAACUGUUUGUUUUUCAUCUGUAUACUCCACGCCUCGCAGCGGAUGGUGUGUGAGUGAUGGGCACGGCGGAGCAGCAGAAGGAGCACUCCGGGGUUUCUGGAUCGUCCAGCCUGGAGUGCGGGGAGGACGAGGCUGCCGCGAGGGCCCCCGUGUCCCGCGGCUCCUCAACUGGCGUGGCCGCCACGCCCUCCAAUGCCAGCACCAGCGGAGCGUCAGGGAGCCGCCGGGGGCGCGCGUCGCCCACAAGUGCCUUCAGUAGGAUCCCUCUCGCCAGAUUUUGCGAGGAGAAGCGAGCGCGUCGCUGCAGGUUUUAUCGAAAUGGUGACCGUUGGUUCGGCGGGAUGGUGGUACCGGUAGGCGGGGACAAGCACAGGUCGUGGGAAGCCCUGCUGGCGGACCUGACGCGGUUGCUCGACCACUCUAUUCACUUGACGGCGGGCGUGCGGCACUUGUUUACGCUAGACGGCACGCGCGUCACAUCGCUCGACCAGAUAUGCGAGGCGGGCGAGUACGUGGUGUCCUCCUCCGAGACGUUUAAACGCCUCGAAUACACCCGCGCGCGUCUGCCGCAGUGGCGGGCGACCGCACGGCGCAACGAGGCGCUGCAUGUGUCUCCGCGAACUACACACGUCACUCCGGCAUCCACGCCCGGCAACGAACUCCCUCCCAGCCUCAUGGGCUCCUCCAUGUCGGCGGAUUCCCCGAAGGACUUCAUCCGACCGAAGCUCGUCACAGUGAUCCGAAAUGGAAUCCGGCCACGCAAGGCGGUCCGGAUCCUGCUCAACCGCCGCACCGCUCGGAGUCUCGAGCAGGUCCUCUCGGACAUUACGCACGCCAUCAAGCUCGACACGGGCGCCGUCAGAAAAGUCUACACUCUGGAUGGAAGACAGGUGAUGAGCCUCCGAGACUUCUUCUACGACGAUGACAUCUUCAUAGCGUACGGUCCCGAGCGGCUCUCGCACGAUGACUUCGACUUGGACUCCGAAGAGUGCAAAACAAUUCAGCCGAUGGUGAAGUGUCCGCUGAGCCCACGGCGGCCGCGUCGCAUGCCCUCUCCAAAGCCCCGCGGCCGAGCUGUAUCUCCUCUUGCAAUAUUCGAUGGGCCAGGUUGUAGUUUACCAAGGUCACCUAGAAAACCUAGAGCACAUUCGCCUCAUAAACGACUAAGUCAGCCUAAUAAUCAGACAUAUCAGCAGCAUCAAGAUCCACCAAUGUACAAUGGUCACAUAGCAUGUGGUGGUCUUGAGAACAUCAUUUUCCCAACAUGUGUAACUUCGAGGUAUUCAGUCGGUCGUAUCUUGGGGGAUGGAAACUUUGCAGUAGUACGUGGGUGUGUCUGUCGAAAAACAAAGGAAGAGUAUGCUCUCAAAAUCAUUGACAAAGCUAAGUGUCGUGGUAAAGAGCAUAUGAUUGAGAGUGAAGUUUCCAUACUUAGGAGGGUUAGCCAUCCAAAUAUUGUUAGUCUAGUGGAAGAAUUCCAUACCUCGCAACAUCUCUACCUCGUAAUGGAGCUAGUCAGGGGUGGCGACCUGUUUGAUGCCAUUGCCAGUGCUACCCGCUAUACAGAGCAGGAUGCAAGCUCUAUGAUUAGAGACUUGGCAUCUGCUCUUGAUUAUCUCCAUCAGCGAGAUAUUGUUCACAGGGAUAUCAAGCCAGAGAAUCUCUUGGUGGUAGACCGAAGUGAUGGAAGCAAAAGUCUAAAGCUAGGAGACUUUGGGUUGGCUGUAGAGGUCACAGAGCCAUUAUAUACAGUAUGUGGCACACCAACCUAUGUAGCACCUGAGAUUCUUUCAGAAUCUGGGUAUGGCUUAAAGGUUGAUAUCUGGGCAACUGGAGUCAUCACAUAUAUCCUUCUCUGUGGAUUUCCACCUUUCGUUUCCGCAACAAAUAACCAAGAGGAGUUAUUUGAUCAGAUAUUAAGAGGACAGUAUGAAUUUCAUGCCCCAUAUUGGGAUGAUAUAUCUGAUUCUGCAAGGGAAUUGAUUGUCCACAUGAUUCAAGUGGACCAAGACAAACGUUUUAGUGCACAAGAGGUUCUGGACCAUCCAUGGGUCUCGGAUGAUGAGGCUCUGGACCGAAACCUUCAUCUUCGAGUGUCCCAUAAACUGGGUCUCCACUUUGACACAAACGGUCCCCAGCACAAGGCUGCCGGAAUCACUCUAAUGGCCGCGGAGUCCACGCCCUGCUUGCAUACAGUAGAAGUUCUAUAGUGUCUGGCAAGCAGGUGGCAGAUGGAAACAGGCAAGCAAGGAAGCAGGAUAAUGCUAAGGGAAUAUGGGGCUACUGACCAUAUAGUCCACAACAACAGGCUGACCAUCACUACUCCUACAAGAACCAAACAUUACACUUACACUCACAAGAAUAUGAAUAUAAAAAGUUUAGAAUGAUUUGCCAUGCUGAUUUCUAAAUUAUUAGUAUUCCUGUCAGAUUAUACUGGUGGAAUUACCAUUGUACAGUAUUUGCUCAAUAUUUUCAUUACUUACAUUUCUUCAUUUUUGAAUGCAAUGCUUCAAUAUUGUGGUUUUGCUGAAUCAUAUAUUUUUGUUUUAUCUUUUCCUAGUCAGUCACUUUAUAAGAAAUGUAUGAAGUAUUGUUAAAGUUCAGUUGAAAACUGUGAAAACUGUAUAAUCUACUAAACUAAUGGUGCAUCAAUGUUUUUAAAUUAUUUUCAUAAGAAUAUAUGACAUGACUAAAUAAGAUUACACUUAUUAAGCAUAGUAAUUAUUGUAUUGUGAUAAAGAAACCAGCUAGAAGCAAAUUGAUAGACAACUACACAACAUGCAAAGCUAACCAUAUCAGGCCAUGAUUUUGGCUUGGCAUUGCUUCUAAAGCAGCAGGUAACCGCCUUGGACAAGGAGAACAGGAGUCUCCGCCGUGAGGGAGAUCCACGAGAUGUUCCAAAUCUAACGAGUCCACCAUGCAGCCCAAGAAUGACUCUGUAUGCAAAUAACAAUCAAGUUUUUUGAAA